GACGAACGCUGGCGGCGUGCCUAAUACAUGCAAGUAGAACGAGUGGCGGACGGGUGAGGAAUGUCUGGGCAACUGCCCGCUGGAGGGGGAAAACUACUGGAAACGGUAGCUAAUACCGCAUACCAUCGGAUGUGCCCAGAUGGGAUUAGCUAGUAGGUGGGGUAACGGCUCACCUAGGCGACGAUCCCUAGCUGGUCUGAGAGGAUGACCAGACACACGGGAACGGAGACACGGUCCAGCGUCCUACGGGAGGCAGCAGUAGGGAAUAUUGCACAUUGGGCGCAAGCCUGAUGCAGCCAUGCCGCGUGGAUGAAGAGGGCCUUCGGGUUGUAAAGUACUUUCAGCGAGGAGGCGUUACUCGCAGAAGAAGCACCGGCUAACUCCGUGCCAGCAGCCGCGGUAAUAC
rnacentral:rRNA from 1 species